UACGUUCCCGGACCUUGCACACACCGCCCGUCAAGCCAUGGAAGCUGGGUGUACCUAAAGUCGAUAACCGAAAGGAGUCGCCUAGGGUAAAACUAGCAACUGGGGCU
rnacentral:rRNA from 1 species